rnacentral:lncRNA from 1 species
ACUAGAUAUAAUUUUUAAAGGCUAAUUUUCUAUUUCUCAUUCUGACUCAACAAUAAAUUGAAGUUGCUAAAGGAUGCUCGUAAAUCCAUCUUUCAUUAUUAUGUUAUGGUUAGGGUGGAUUUAGAACUAGUAAAACUAGCAACACUAACUUUUUUAUCCUCAGUUUAGCCACAGAGAUGGCUGUGUCAGAGUUGUGAGAGUAAUAAUAGCGGAGUUAACUUUACGGAGAGCUUCCGGUACGGCAAGUGGCAUUCACAGUACUUCACAGGUAUGAACAGUCCUAGGAGGUAAGUCCUAUCCUCCUUGUCAUUUUGAAGAAGAGGAAACCGAGUUACCACAAAGCUGGGUCAUCUGUCUUCUCCUGCACAUGGACAGUGGAGAUUCAGACUCCAGGACUUACACCAGUGCCCACUCCUCCUCAGCCUCCUGACUGAAUCACACCACCAACUUUCCUGUUUCUCCAGCUUGCAGAUGGCAUAUUGUGGGACUUCUCAGCCUCCACAAUCAUAAAAACAACAAAACAACCCUUUACAGAAAAUCCCAAACAACCCUUAAGGAGACACGGCAAAAUGUGAAGAUGUGUUAAAUCUGAGUAGUGGGUACCUGAAUGUUUUAUUAUUUUCUAUAUAUUUCUAAUUUUUCAUAAUUACAUGUUUUUGAAGAAAUAAAAUAUUAUCACCACUUUCAAUAUUUUUAACAUCCAAUCAUAAAAUUCU